ACUCUGUCCGGGGAACAUGGCCGCCGGAGCAAAGCUAAGAGCCCAGAGCAGCAGCAGAGAGCAGACUCCCCUGGACCCAGCUGUGUCUCCAUGAAGAGUAACUGGUCUAUGGAUCAACCUCCAGCCCAGUUUAAAGAUGGAAAUCAGUCUAUUAAGAACAGGGUCCUGCAGAAGAAAGCAGAGAUAGGAGACUCCCCUGGACCGAGCUGUGUCUCCAUGAAGAGUGACCACUCAAUGGAACAACCUCAUAACUUUAAAGAUGGAAAUCAGUCUAUUGA